GUCUAAACGACUCUCGGCAACGGAUAUCUCGGCUCUCGCAUCGAUGAAGAACGUAGCGAAAUGCGAUACUUGGUGUGAAUUGCAGAAUCCCGUGAACCAUCGAGUCUUUGAACGCAAGUUGCGCCCGAAGCCUUCUGGCCGAGGGCACGCCUGCCUGGGCGUC
rnacentral:rRNA from 4 species